GGAGGAAAGCAGGGGAUCGCAAGACCUUGCGCUCAUUGAGCGGCCGAUGCCUGAUUAGCUAGUUGGUGAGGUAAAGGCUUACCAAGGCGACGAUCAGUAGCUGGUCUGAGAGGACGACCAGCCACACUGGGACUGAGACACGGCCCAGACUCCUACGGGAGGCAGCAGUGGGGAAUUUUGGACAAUGGGGGAAACCCUGAUCCAGCCAUGCCGCGUGAGUGAAGAAGGCCUUCGGGUUGUAAAGCUCUUUCAGCCGGAACGAAACGGUCACGGCUAAUACCUGUGACUACUGACAGUACCGGAAGAAGAGGCACCGGCUAACUACGUGCCAGCAGCCGCGGUAAUACGUAGGGUGCGAGCGUUAAUCGGAAUCACUGGGCGUAAAGCGUGCGCAGGCGGUUUUGUAAGUCUGAAGGGAAUCCCCGGGCUUACCCUGGGAACUGCGUGCCUUUAAGGAGGGCUAGAAGGGC
rnacentral:rRNA from 1 species